rnacentral:misc_RNA from 1 species
AAAGCAAACUUAAUUCCAUACCAGAUCUGUUGUCGCUUCAAUCUUCCAACUUGCUGGAAUGCCGGUGAACUUGACGGCUAACGCGAUCUCGGCGAUUAACGCCGGUGACGUGAACUCAAAGCCAGUGGUUCAGGUAUUGGACAUCAAGUUAAUCGGCACCACACAGGAACGGUACCGACUCACACUCUCCGAUUCUGAGUCCACUCAGCAGGCUAUGCUAGCUACUCAGCUCAAUGACCGAGUCAAAACUGGCCGUGUUCGU